UACGUAGGGCGCAAGCGUUGUCCGGAAUCAUUGGGCGUAAAGCGCACGUAGGCGGUUCGUUAUGUCGGAUGUGAAAGCCCUUGGCUUAACCGAGGAAGUGCAUCCGAAAACUGGCGAGCUAGAGUACUAAAGAGGAUCGCGGAAUUCCCGGUGUAGAGGUGAAAUUCGUAGAUAUCGGGAGGAACACCGGUGGCGAAGGCGGCGAUCUGGGUAGAUACUGACGCUGAGGUGCGAAAGCGUGGGGAGCAAACAGG
rnacentral:rRNA from 1 species